rnacentral:rRNA from 1 species
UCGAGCGAACGGACGAGAAGCUUGCUUCUCUGAUGUUAGCGGCGGACGGGUGAGUAACACGUGGAUAACCUACCUAUAAGACUGGGAUAACUUCGGGAAACCGGAGCUAAUACCGGAUAAUAUUUUGAACCGCAUGGUUCAAAAGUGAAAGACGGUCUUGCUGUCACUUAUAGAUGGAUCCGCGCUGCAUUAGCUAGUUGGUAAGGUAACGGCUUACCAAGGCAACGAUGCAUAGCCGACCUGAGAGGGUGAUCGGCCACACUGGAACUGAGACACGGUCCAGACUCCUACGGGAGGCAGCAGUAGGGAAUCUUCCGCAAUGGGCGAAAGCCUGACGGAGCAACGCCGCGUGAGUGAUGAAGGUCUUCGGAUCGUAAAACUCUGUUAUUAGGGAAGAACAUAUGUGUAAGUAACUGUGCACAUCUUGACGGUACCUAAUCAGAAAGCCACGGCUAACUACGUGCCAGCAGCCGCGGUAAUACGUAGGUGGCAAGCGUUAUCCGGAAUUAUUGGGCGUAAAGCGCGCGUAGGCGGUUUUUUAAGUCUGAUGUGAAAGCCCACGGCUCAACCGUGGAGGGUCAUUGGAAACUGGAAAACUUGAGUGCAGAAGAGGAAAGUGGAAUUCCAUGUGUAGCGGUGAAAUGCGCAGAGAUAUGGAGGAACACCAGUGGCGAAGGCGACUUUCUGGUCUGUAACUGACGCUGAUGUGCGAAAGCGUGGGGAUCAAAC